AACGCACAUUGCGCCCUUUGGUAUUCCUUAGGGCAUGCCUGUUCGAGCGUCAUUUACAAAUUCAAGCCCAGCUUGGUGAUGGGUGUCUGUCCCGCCUUUGCGUGUGGACUCGCCUCAAAUGCAGUUGGCAGCUUGUUCCUCGGCUCUAAACGCAGCAGAUUUGCGUCGCGUGUCGUGCGGACGGGCUCUCCAGUAAGCAAACCCCCACAAAUUGACCUCGGAUCAGGUAGGGAUACCCGCUGAACUUAA
rnacentral:misc_RNA from 1 species